rnacentral:piRNA from 1 species
UAGGUAUGCAUGUGCCAUGUUGGUUUGCU